AGGUGGACCAGUCAUAGUCAGUACAUUCAUCUCCAGAUAGCUAGGUGGACCAGUCAUGGUCAGUCCAUUCAUCUCCAGAUAGCUAGGUGGACCAGUCAUAGUCAGUACAUUCACCUCCAGAUAACUAGGUGGACCAGUCAUAGUCAGUACAUUCAUCUUCAGAUAGCUAGGUGAGACAACCACAUAUCACCGUCAUAGUCAGUCCAUUCAUCUUCAGAUAGCUAGGUGGACCAGUCAUAGUCAGUACAUUCAUCUCCAGAUAGCUAGGUGGACCAGUCAUAGUCAGUACAUUCAUCUUCAGAUAGCUAGGUGGACCAGUCAUAGUCAGUACAUUCACCUCCAGAUAGCUAGGUGGACCAGUCAUAGUCAAUACAUUCAUCUUCAGAUAGCUAGGUUAGACAACCACAUAUCACAGUCAUAGUCAGUCCAUUCAUCUUCAGAUAGCUAGGUGGACCAGUCAUAGUCAGUACAUUCAUCUCCAGAUAGCUAGGUGGACCAGUCAUAUUCAGUACAUUCAUCUCCAGAUAGCUAGGUAGACCCGUCAUAGUCAGUACAUUCAUCUCCAG
rnacentral:lncRNA from 1 species